CUCUGGACUUUAUCAAUUCUCUAUCGAUUCACAGCCGAUGAAUAUUCUAAUUUAAAUAUCACUUUAACGCGUCAAACUAUACAAGGUGCCUAUAAUAAGCGACUAAUUUUUUACAUUUUUAACAGAUCCGACGUACUGACUAUUGCAAAUGUAAAACCUUCGAUAAACUACACGUGACCAUAGGAAACUUUCGUCGAUCGAAAAUAGAACAUCGACAUAAGCGAAGCUGUUUGUUCGAAAGAAGGUACUCGCAUUACUUGGAAGGAAACACUAGUCAACUGGUGCUCCAACAUGGAUGUAGCGGGUAUCGGCGCUUCGAAACUUCGGUGAUUACCGUGAACGGAACGAGAGGCCGAGAACGUUGAACGUUAAAUCGCGAAAAUGAAAUCCUCGUGGUGGUUCCUCCACGGAAAUCCGACGACUGACUGGAGAAUUCGCAGACGUGCGCCUUUAAUUUAGAGGCGCGGAGCGCUCUCGAGUUUUCACACUGCAUUCUGUCCGAUGAGUACUAUCCACUGCUACACAAUUCCGCUGGUUAAUUGGUCAAAGGUUGCGGCAGCCGUUUUCGCAAGACAAACUAGGUUGUUUGUAGUAUCGUGUAGUUGCUUUAAAAUCAGCCGAUCUUCGUUUCUUUUCUUUUUGACAGCAUGCGACUAGAACACGCACAAUUUCCGAAUGACGUUUAAAAGAACGUCGAAUCCUUCUUCGAUAAGAAUUUGUUAAACUAACGACAUACCCAUAUCGUCGAUGAUUGGUGCCAUUCUGAGCGUAACUCCGACUAAGAGUAAAGACAUUGUAAGAAGGAGGCAGGCUGUCGCAACGAUCGUCCAACGAGCGCGUGG